GAUGAAGAACGUAGCAAAAUGCGAUAAGUAAUGUGAAUUGCAGAAUUCAGUGAAUCAUCGAAUCUUUGAACGCACAAUGCGCCCGCUGGUAUUCCGGCGGGCAUGCCUGUUCGAGCGUCAUUUCAACCCUCAAGCCCCCGGGUUUGGUGUUGGGGAUCGGCUCUGCCCUUCUGGGCGGUGCCGCCCCCGAAAUACAUUGGCGGUCUCGCUGCAGCCUCCAUUGCGUAGUAGCUAACACCUCGCAACUGGAACGCGGCGCGGCCAUGCCGUAAAACCCCAACUUCUGAAUGUUGACCUCGGAUCAGGUAGGAAUACCCGCUGAACUUAAGCAUAUCAAUAAGCGGAGGA
rnacentral:misc_RNA from 1 species